UACGGGGGGGAGCAAGCGUUGUUCGGAUUUACUGGGCGUAAAGGGCGCGUAGGCGGCCUGUGCAAGUCAGUUGUGAAAUUCGCAGCUUAACUCGGAACGGUCAACUGAUACUGCUCGGCUAGAGUGCGGAAGGGGCAACUGGAAUUCUUGGUGUAGCGGUGAAAUGCGUAGAUAUCAAGAGGAACACCUGCGGCGAAGGCGGGUUGCUGGGCCGACACUGACGCUGAGGCGCGAAGCUAGGGGAGCGAACGGG
rnacentral:rRNA from 1 species